AAUAUAUGGGAUUUUGAGUUUUUAUUUGCACUCUUUGAUCACUCGUCUUAUUCAAAAAAUUUUGGAAUUAUUUUUUUUAUGACUUGCUUUAUUAUCCAAAGUACUUUAAGCACAACUUUUCGUAUUUUAUAUUUGCACAAAUUUUUUGAAUAAGACGAGUGGUCAAACAGUGUAAACAAAAACUCAAAAUCCCUUAUA
rfam:Oryza sativa Japonica Group DNA, chromosome 11, cultivar: Nipponbare, complete sequence.